rnacentral:tRNA from 5 species
UCCCCGGUAGCGCAGUGGUAGCGCAGUUGACUGUUAAUCAAUUGGUCGUAGGUUCGAAUCCUACCCGGGGAGCCA